GAUGAACGCUGACAGAAUGCUUAACACAUGCAAGUCUUUGGCGAAGCUGUGCUUGCACAGUCUAGCCAAGGCGGACGGGUGAGUAACGCGUAAGGAACUUGCCCUGCAGUCAGGGAUAACAGACGGAAACGACUGAUAAGACCUGGUAAAGUCAGGCGGACUCAUGUCCAGCCUGAUGAAAAGAGAUGCUGCAGGAGAGCCUUGCGUCCUAUUAGCUUGUUGGUGGGGUAACGGCCCACCAAGGCGAUGAUAGGUAGCCGGCCUGAGAGGGUGGACGGCCACAAGGGGACUGAGAUACGGCCCUUACUCCUACGGGAGGCAGCAGUGGGGAAUAUUGGACAAUGGGGGCAACCCUGAUCCAGCAAUUCUGUGUGCACGAUGAAGGUUUUCGGAUUGUAAAGUGCUUUCAGCAGGGAAGAAAAAAAUGACGGUACCUGCAGAAGAAGCGACGGCUAAAUACGUG
rnacentral:rRNA from 1 species